rnacentral:rRNA from 1 species
AUUGAACGCUGGCGGCAUGCCUUACACAUGCAAGUCGAACGGUAACAGGUUAAGCUGACGAGUGGCGAACGGGUGAGUAAUAUAUCGGAACGUGCCCAGUCGUGGGGGAUAACGUAGCGAAAGCUACGCUAAUACCGCAUACGAUCUACGGAUGAGAGCGGGGGAUCGGAAGACCGCGCGCGAUUGGAGCGGCCGAUAUCAGCUUAGGUUGUUGGUGAGGUAAAAGCUGACCAAGCCGUCGAACUGUAGCUGGUCUGAGAGGACGACCAGCCACACUUGGACUGAGACACGGACCAGACUCCUACUGGAGGCAGCAGUGGGGAAUUUUGGACAAUGGACGCAAGUCUGAUCCAGCAAUGCCGCGUGCAGGACGAAGGCCUUCGGGUUGUAAACUGCUUUUGUACGGAACGAAACGGUGAGCUCUAAUACAGUUUGCUAAUGACGGUACCGUAAGAAUAAGCACCGGCUAACUACGUGCCAGCCGCCGCAGUAA